rnacentral:lncRNA from 1 species
AGGACAGAAAAUAUUGGAGUCUCAAUGGGCUCAAAUGAAAUAUUGAAGAAUUCGCUUCAGCAAUGACAUUGAUGGCUAUGAUACAAAAACCAGAAUCCACGGAUGAAAAUAUGGACUUGGUUUGACCGAAAAA